CCUACGGGAGGCAGCAGUGAGGAAUAUUGGUCAAUGGGCGCGAGCCUGAACCAGCCAAGUAGCGUGAAGGAUGACUGCCCUACGGGUUGUAAACUUCUUUUAUAAAGGAAUAAAGUGAGGCACGUGUGCCUUUUGUAUGUACUUUAUGAAUAAGGAACGGCUAACUCCGUGCCAGCAGCCGCGGUAAUACGGAGGAUCCGAGCGUUAUCCGGAUUUAUUUGGGUUAAGGGGAGCGUAGAUUGGUUGUUAAGUCAGUGGUGAAAGUUUGCGGCUCAACCGUAAAAUUGCAAGUGAUACUGGCAGUCUUGAGUGCAGUUGAGGUAGGCGAAAUUCGGGGUGUAGCGGUGAAAUGCUUAGAUAGCACGAAGAACUCCGAUUGCGAAGGCAGCUUACUAAACUGCCACUGACGUUGAUGCUCGAAAGUGUGGGUAUCAAACAGGAUUAGAUACCCCAGUAGUC
rnacentral:rRNA from 1 species